rnacentral:piRNA from 1 species
UCUCAGAGUAAGUGUUUCAGU